rnacentral:rRNA from 1 species
CCUACGGGGGGCAGCAGUGGGGGAUAUUGCACAAUGGGGGAAACCCUGAUGCAGCGACGCUGCGUGAGUGAAGAAGUAUUUCGGUACGUAAAGCUCUAUCAGCAGGGAAGAAAAUGACGGUACCUGACUAAGAAGCCCCGGCUAACUACGUGCCAGCAGCCGCGGUAAUACGUAGGGGGCAAGCGUUAUCCGGAUUUACUGGGUGUAAAGGGAGCGUAGACGGCAUUGCAAGUCUGAUGUGAAAGAUUGGGGCUCAACCCCAGGCCUGCAUUGGAAACUGUAAAGCUAGAGUACAGGAGAGGUAA